AACGAACGCUGGCGGCAGGCCUAACAACUGCCAGUCGAGCGAAGCCUUCGGGCUUAGCGGCGGACGGGUGGGUAACGCGUGGGAACGUGCCCUUUGGUUCGGAAAAGCCCCGGGAAACUGGGAGGAAUACCGGUUGUGGGCCGGGGACGAAAGAUUUAUCGCCAAAGGAACGGCCCGCGUUGGAUUAGGUAGUUGGUGGGGUAAUGGCCUACCAAGCCGACGAUCCAUAGCUGGUUUGAGAGGAUGAUCAGCCACACUGGGACUGAGACACGGCCCAGACUCCUACGGGAGGCAGCAGUGGGGAAUCUUAGACAAUGGGGGAAACCCUGAUCUAGCCAUGCCGCGUGAUCGAUGAAGGCCUUAGGGUUGUAAAGAUCUUUCAGUGGGGAAGAUAAUGACUGUACCCACAGAAGAAGCCCCGGCUAACUCCGUGCCAGCCGCCGCAGUAAAAC
rnacentral:rRNA from 1 species